GUAGGUGGCAAGCGUUGUCCGGAGUUAUUGGGCGUAAAGCGCGCGCAGGCGGUUCUUUAAGUCUGAUGUGAAAGCCCACGGCUCAACCGUGGAGGGCCAUUGGAAACUGGAGAACUUGAGUACAGAAGAGGAAAGCGGAAUUCCACGUGUAGCGGUGAAAUGCGUAGAGAUGUGGAGGAACACCAGUGGCGAAGGCGGCUUUCUGGUCUGUAACUGACGCUGAGGCGCGAAAGCGUGGGGAGCAAACAGGGAUUAGAUACCCUGGUAGUCCACGCCGUAAACGAUGAGUGCUAAGUGUAGGGGGGUUUCCGCCCCCUUAGUGCUGCAGCUAACGCAUUAAGCACUCCGCCUGGGGAUACGGCCGCAAGGCUG
rnacentral:rRNA from 1 species